AUAUUGAACUACAUUCAUUUGUGUAAUAAAAAUCAAGAAUACUUGUUUUUUUUUCCUUUGUAAUAAUUAUUUUUUAUUCAUUUUGUCAAAAUUAAAUAAGUAAAUGAAUCAUUAAUGUAUUUUGUCACUUUAUUUCGUUAAUGUCUAACUUAUUAAAAUUAAUUUACUAUUAUCAUACAAAUUAACACUGCAUAAUACAACUGUUUAAGAGAAGUGUUGUUGAUGGUGCUGGACGUUGCAGGUGAUAUAUUGUCAAUACUGGUGAUAUAAUUAUGGAAUCCAUGGAUUAUCCUAUAAUAUGGAAUAUCUGGGCUCCUAGUGUGCAAAAUAAUUUUGGUCAUAUCAUCACCUUGCAAAAAUCCUAGACAAGCCAUUGUACCUACCUGCUAUUACUCUACUUAUCCAAUAACCUAUGCGUUUGAAAAAACCCUAUAAUUAAAUCCAAAGCGAAGACGAAAUUAAAAAACUAAGUAAAAUACCAAAUCUCAAAAGCAUUAAACAUACUAUAAUAAUUUAUACUUGUACACAUUUAAGUAGCCGCGUUUACUUAAUUUUUUUUUUUAAUAAAAAGUAUACAAUCUGCACCCUUGAUCACGGUAAGAAUAUGUGAUAAGUGAGAGAUUUUGUACAUGAAAAAGCGUGAGGGAAGAAGACAUCCGGUGACAGGACUAUCUAUUUGAUUGUCUAUUUUUAAAAAAAAAUUGUAUUUAUUUGUUUUUUAAAUUGAUCUUUGAGUAAAUCUCUACGCCAAUUUCUUUUCAGUCGCCGUGUGGGAAUGCCCGGAAUUGAACUAGAAGCUAAAUUUGAUAUAAGGGGAUUAGGAUGAGUUGGAAGUCUAUUAUGAAAUCGUUUGUAAAACGUUACUGCUUCAACGUCAACUGUUUUUAUACUUAAAUCUGUGUGCAGGGUAUAGUUGGAGACGUAUGGUAGAGCGUUAUAGUGAUUAUGCGUAAAGUUUAAUUUUGAAAGAUUUGAAUUUUGUUUACAUUAGAUUUUUUUGCAUUGCCCCAUAGUUAUAGACCAUAAGUCCACUUGGGCUUGAUUAAAGAAUUAUACAUGAGAAGUUUGUUAUUUAGUUUGGGCCGUUUGGGGUGUUUGUUAGAUAUUAGUGUUUCAGUUGAGGCUUAAUUGAUAAUCAUAUUAAUCAAUAAAUUAUUGAGCAUAGUCAUUCAUUUAGGGCGAGUUUUUUAGUUCUGAUAUGCAGUCCCCAGGUAAGACGACGUUCAAAUAAACAAAUUGUCACCGACCAGUUAUACCUAUUGUAGUUAUCGAUGAUUGAUAUAAAUAAAUUACAUAACUAUUAAUUUUUCGGGGGGGGGGGGAAUAGAGGUUUAAA